UACGUAGGGUGCAAGCGUUGUCCGGAAUUAUUGGGCGUAAAGAGCUCGUAGGCGGUUUGUUGCGUCGGCUGUGAAAUCCCGAGGCUCAACCUCGGGUCUGCAGUCGAUACGAGCAAACUAGAGUGUUGCAGGGGAGACUGGAAUUCCUGGUGUAGCGGUGAAAUGCGCAGAUAUCAGGAGGAACACCGGUGGCGAAGGCGGGGUCUCUGGGCAACAACUGACGCUGGAGGAGCGAAAAGCGUGGGGAGCGAACAGGAUUAG
rnacentral:rRNA from 1 species